rnacentral:rRNA from 1 species
ACACUCCUACGGGAGGCAGCAGUGGGGAAUUUUGGACAAUGGGCGAAAGCCUGAUCCAGCCAUGCCGCGUGCAGGAUGAAGGCCUUCGGGUUGUAAACUGCUUUUGUACGGAACGAAACGGCCUUUUCUAAUAAAGAGGGCUAAUGACGGUACCGUAAGAAUAAGCACCGGCUAACUACGUGCCAGCAGCCGCGGUAAUACGUAGGGUGCAAGCGUUAAUCGGAAUUACUGGGCGUAAAGCGUGCGCAGGCGGUUAUGUAAGACAGUUGUGAAAUCCCCGGGCUCAACCUGGGAACUGCAUCUGUGACUGCAUAGCUAGAGUACGGUAGAGGGGGAUGGAAUUCCGCGUGUAGCAGUGAAAUGCGUAGAUAUGCGGAGGAACACCGAUGGCGAAGGCAAUCCCCUGGACCUGUACUGACGCUCAUGCACGAAAGCGUGGGGAGCAAACAGUAGUAGAAACCCCUGUAGUCCCAU